rnacentral:rRNA from 1 species
CCUACGGGUGGCAGCAGUGAGGAAUAUUGGUCAAUGGCCGAGAGGCUGAACCAGCCAAGUCGCGUGAGGGAAGAAUGUCCUAUGGAUUGUAAACCUCUUUUGUCAGGGAGCAAAGUCACCCACGUGUGGGUGUUGGCGCGUACCUGAAGAAAAAGCAUCGGCUAACUCCGUGCCAGCAGCCGCGGUAAUACGGAGGAUGCGAGCGUUAUCCGGAUUUAUUGGGUUUAAAGGGUGCGUAGGCGGGUUAUCAAGUCAGAUGUGAAAUCCUGCGGCUUAACCGCAGAACUGCAUUUGAAACUGGUGAGCUUGAGUACUGGAGAGGCAGACGGAAUUCCUGGUGUAGCGGUGAAAUGCGUAGAUAUUAGGAGGAACACCAGUGGCGAAGGCGGUCUGCUGGACAGCAACUGACGGUGAGGCGCGAAAGCGUGGGGAGCAAACGGGAUUAGAUACCCGAGUAGUC